GCAAGUUGCCAGCUUAGUUUGGAGAGUUGCACACAGUCUGGUGGAUAAGAGCUCCCUAUAUCUGCAAAAUCACCUCAGAGAUGGCAUUCUGGACAGGGACUCAGGGACAGGCAACCCAACAUGGCAAAUUUGGAACUGUUCCAGGACGAUACUUUUCACAACCCUAUCAAGAAAAGAGGCAUGCUGCAGAUUAUCAUCAGUACUUAUAUGAGCAGCCCGAGCGUGUGUGUGAACCCAGCUACUGGACAAUGCCAGGAUCCCGGACAGGAGGGGUGCUGCAGGACUACAGCAACUGGGCAGAGCAAGGAACUUCUCACCAGUUCCCCUUCACCCUAGAGAGCCAAGCUCGGCGACAGGGACUUGGAGAACAGACCGUACCAGAGAGAUUAGAGAGGGAUUGGCUGUCUAGAGAUGUGUACAGAGCACAGAGGGAG